rnacentral:rRNA from 11 species
AGAACGUCGUGAGACAGUUCGGUCCCUAUCUGCCGUGGGCGCAGGAGAUUUGAGAAGAGUUGCUCCUAGUACGAGAGGACCGGAGUGAACGAACCUCUGGUGUUCGGGUUGUCAUGCCAAUGGCAUUGCCCGGUAGCUACGUUCGGAACUGAUAAGCGCUGAAAGCAUCUAAGCGCGAAGCAGGCCUCGAGAUGAUUUCUCACUAGACUUUUAAAGUCUCUGAAGGGCCGUUGAAGACUACA